rnacentral:precursor_RNA from 1 species
GUGGGGGCGGUGGUCGGCCGGCGGCCGAGUGGCUCCCGCGUCACGGGCCGUCAGUGCCACGUAAGACCCGCGUUC